GGCUUGGUGUUCUAGGGGUAUGAUUCUCGCUUUGUGUGUGAGAAGUUCCGGGUUCGAAUCCCGGUCGGGACCA